AGAGAGGGGUAAAAACGAGAGAGAGAGAGAGAGAGGUGUAAAAACGAGAGAGAGAGAGAGAGGGGUAAAAACGAGAGAGAGAGAGAGAGAGGUGUAAAAACGAGAGAGAGAGAGAGAGAGGUGUAAAAACGAGAGAGAGAGAGAGAGAGGUGUAAAAACGAGAGAGAGAGAGAGAGAGGUGUAAAAACGAGAGAGAGAGAGAGAGAGAGAGAGAG